UACGUAGGGGGCAAGCGUUGUCCGGAAUCAUUGGGCGUAAAGCGCGUGUAGGCGGUUUGUCGCGUCGGGAGUGAAAACUCAGGGCUUAACCCUGAGCCUGCUUCCGAUACGGGCAGACUAGAGGUAUGCAGGGGAGAACGGAAUUCCUGGUGUAGCGGUGAAAUGCGCAGAUAUCAGGAGGAACACCGGUGGCGAAGGCGGUUCUCUGGGCAUUACCUGACGCUGAGGAGCGAAAGUGUGGGGAGCGAACAGG
rnacentral:rRNA from 1 species